rnacentral:SRP_RNA from 1 species
GCCAGGUGAGGUGGCGCACGCCUGUAGUCCCAGCUACUCGGGAGGCUGAGAUGGGAGGAUCACCUGAGCCCAGGAGGUUGAGGCUGUAGUGAGCUGUGAUUUUACCACUGCACUCCAGCCUGGGCAACAGAGUGAGACCCUAUAUCAA